UUUCGAAUCGUUCACAAUGGGGGCAACCCUGAUGGCGCGACGCCGCGUGGGGGAUGAAGGUCUUCGGAUUGUAAACUCCUGUCAUUGGGGACUAAUGGCCAGGCUCAUACCCUGGUUUGAAUUAACCCAAAGAGGAAGCAGUGGCUAACUCUGUGCCAGCAGCCGCGGUAAUACAGAGACUGCAAGCGUUACUCGGAUUCACCGGGCGUAAAGGGAGCGCAGGCGGACUAGUGUGUCAGGCGUGAAAUCUCAGGGCUCAACCCUGAGGCUGCGUCCGAAACUACUAGUCUAGAGACUUGGAGGGGUAAGCGGAAUUCUUGGUGGAGCGGUGAAAUGCGUAGAUAUCAAGAGGAACACCAACGGCGAAGGCAGCUUACUGGACAAGAUCUGACGCUCAUGCACGAAAGCGUGGGGAGCAAACAGG
rnacentral:rRNA from 1 species